AUGGGCCCGCGGCCUAUCAGCUUGUUGGUGGGGUAAUGGCCUACCAAGGCGACGACGGGUAGCCGACCUGAGAGGGUGAUCGGCCACACUGGGACUGAGACACGGCCCAGACUCCUACGGGAGGCAGCAGUGGGGAAUAUUGCACAAUGGGCGCAAGCCUGAUGCAGCGACGCCGCGUGAGGGAUGACGGCCUUCGGGUUGUAAACCUCUUUCGCCAGGGACGAAGCGCAAGUGACGGUACCUGGAGAAGAAGCACCGGCCAACUACGUG
rnacentral:rRNA from 1 species